CACCUCUCAGGGUGACACCUGGAGAGUUUUCAGUACUCUACCAAUUUCUACUGAGGGAGGAAGAGACAAGCAGAGGCCUACCCAUUCCAUUCCUAGCUUGGGCAAUGGCUAGCGAGUGGAAGGCCAUCUGCUACUGGU